rnacentral:rRNA from 1 species
AGCAGCAGCCGCGGUAAUACGGAGGGGGCUAGCGUUGUUCGGAAUUACUGGGCGUAAAGCGCACGUAGGCGGCUUUGUAAGUUAGAGGUGAAAGCCUGGAGCUCAACUCCAGAAUUGCCUUUAAGACUGCCGAGCUAGUAGGUGAGAGGGGUGAGUGGAAUUCCGAGUGUAGAGGUGAAAUUCGUAGAUAUUCGGAAGAACACCAGUGGCGAAGGCGGCUCACUGGCUCAUUCUAGACGCUGAGGUGCGAAAGCGUGGGGAGCAAACAGGAUUAGAGACCCGAGUAGUCCCUGUCUCUUACAC